GCCCCUUUUCUAUUGCACUACU
rnacentral:miRNA from 1 species